CCAGCCUAUUUCUGUUCUCUUCUUUCACUUGUAGCAUCUCUAAGGAUACUUAAAAACAAACAAAAACAAACAAACAAAAUAAAAACAACCAAAAACCCCCACGGAAUUUAAGCUGAAGGAGAAGCAAACUGGCUGCAGCUUGUGGCACUUUUGUGGGUCUGGUGUAGAAUGUUGCACUCUGCUGCAGCCCUGGGGUUGAUUCUGGGAUGCAGAGAAUCAGAGUUUGAAGGUGCUGUGCUGAGCAGGGCCUGAAGCAGAGCCAGGGCAGUGAACAUGUACUUGCUGUAAAUCAGCCUGGGACCACUCUGACACUGGUGCAGGUCCAAGUGCUGCCAGCUGAGCUGCUCUCUGGCACUCACUCUGAUUUUGUGGUCUUCAGAAUUUUUCUCUUUUAUGCCAAGGAUUCUUCCACUCAGUGUUCCAUGUCUAAUCCAUACAGGCUUCAAACUUCUGAGUACUUUUAAGUUCAAAUGUCCCAACUUCAGUCUUGGCCUGAGAGAAACCAAUAUGGCUUGUGCCUGUGUCAGCCUUAUGCAAGCAUAAAAGCUUUACUUAUUUAACAAUAUUUUUCUGUUUCAGGUCAUCUGAUGAAUCCCAUGUUACCUUUGACGUGGAUUCUUUUACAAAAGCCCUGGACAGAAUUUUAGGGGCAGACUCGGAGGAGCUGGAUUCUGAUGAUGUGGAUGAAGAGGAGGAGUUUGGUUUCUCAGAUGAGGAUGAUGAAGCCCUGGAUGCUGGGAACCAAAGGCAGGAGCAGAAGGUGUCUCCUGAGGAGCUCGUGGGCAGUCUCAAGGCGUACAUGAAGGAGAUGGACCGUGAGCUGGCACAGACCAAUGUUGGCAAAAGUUUCACCAGCCACAAGAGAGGGGCAAGUUCUGUUGGAGCAGCCACAUCUGAGAGUGCUGGCCCUGAUUGUGGAGCUGAGGCUGAGCUGGCACCCGUGGAUGUGGACAUGAACCUGGUGGCAAACCUGCUCGAGUCCUACAGUGCCCAGGCUGGCCUGGCAGGACCCACCUCGAACAUUUUACAGAGCCUGGGGGUGAAUUUACCUGAGAACACAGAGCUCCCUGGCAGCUGAGCACACAGGGAGAGCCUUUGGACAAGACCUGGCUGCUGGGGAGAUGAAGCACACACAGACGAGCUGGAUGUGGAAGAAGAGGCCAAAGGUUUUAAUUUGGAGCAUUCUGUUCAUUAUUUGUCACUUCAGCAGAGUGAAUUGACCUGAAAAAGGUUUCUGUUUGGACACAGUCUUGGAUGGAAAUGAGAUUUUCCUAGGGCUGACACAAUUUCAGAAAACUGAAAAAUGAUGUUGAAUGAAUGACUCAAAUGAGGUUUUCUUUUAUUCCAAAAUCUCUCUUCCAUUAUCCCAAUCCGUGAUCCACUUUACCACAUUUCUAAAAUGUCCUUUUACCCGUUGCUAAGUGGGUUCAAUAUCUGGAAGCAGUUCUUGUUCUGAAAAUGCUGCUGCCUUCAGGGAUUUGCAGGAAGAGUCUCAGGGAUUGGGGACUGCUGGUGAAAUGUUGGGCAGACGUUUAAUCCUUCCCCAGAGCAGGAUGCUGCAUUGUAAGAACUUCUGACAAUUCUGUAAGAGACCGUUCCUUAUUAAGCACAAGGAUUUGAAGAGUCAUUGGAUCAAAUGUGUCAAUAUUGGUCAGAAGGAUUUUUAAAAUUUAUUUCAGUAAAAACAGAAAUACAACUUGAUUACUGCUUUUUUUUGGAGGUAUGCAUAACUUCCUAAGUGUGUUAUCAGUUCUUGGACUGAAAGCAUUUUCAGAACUGUUCAUUUUCUGGAUGAAUUCCAUUAUUGUUGAGUGUUGGUGUCAUGCCAGCAGUAGCUGUGUGUGAGCCCAGGCUGAACAGUUUGGGGUUUUCCUUCAGUGGAAAUGUGCCUGAAGGCAUGCAGCACGUUGCUUUCAUGUGGAAUGAAAAAUCUAUUUUAAAUAUGACACCUUUAGUUUUAACAAGAUAAAUUUGAAAUCAAAUACAUAGACAUUGUUGAUACACAGACACCAGCACUGCAGUCCUGCUGGGUCCAAAUCAGCUUCUUGAUUUCCCUUUAUUUCUUUUUCAUUCAGCAAUUAAUCAGUUGUCCUCCACUGAUGUUGUGUCAUUUACUUUGUCAGCAGUUCAGGGUGAGCACUGGCAGGUUGGACAGGGAUUAGAGAUGGACAACAAGAGCUGGGAAGUUCUAAAGAAUGUUUUGCCAAAUUUCAAGGAAUUUGGACUGCUGAGAGCAGCUUCACAGUGGAGCCCUCCAAGGCUCUGGAAGUGCUCCCAGGAGAGUUUGCCAGGGAAGAAGAAGCAUUUCCAUGCUGCCUCUUCCACUGCUGUGAGGUAACACACGAGGCAUCUCCUCUUUUAAUUGUGAGAGUGUUUUUAGUGAAGGAAGCCUGAUGGAAUUAAGUAGGGAAGACAGGUGUGCUGUGGUUCCCUUUCAGUGGAUUUCUAUUGACCUCUAUUCUGAAGUUGUUUAACUGGUUGAUUUUCCCUUCUUGUCUGUGUUGAAGCUGAGGGAAUCCCCAUUCACCUGCAAUGUUAAGGGUAUCAAUUGAAAGAAACCCUGCCUUGGCCAUGAUUUCAGGGCUAUCAGUGGAUGGGGAAUCCCCCUUUUCUUCCUGAAACAGAUCAGGGAAGACCCUUUUUGUUGCAAUUUUAAUGAUAUGAAAUGAGAGCAAACCUUCCAUUUUCAUCAUCUUUAAAUUAAUGAGGAGUCUCUGUUGUGCCGUUUUUUUUUUUUUUGUUUAAAUUGGUAUAUACAAUUUCAUUCCAUCAAUUUGAGGGGUUUAUAUUGAGGGGCAAAAAAUGAGCUGGAAAAAAAAAAGCGGCAAAAAAAUGGGGAAAAAAAAAAGAUGUCCAAAAAGGGUGGGGGAAAAAGUGGCAUAAUGAUGGGGGAAAAGGGUGGCAAAAAUGGUGGAAAAGAAGUGUGGGGGGAAAAACAGGGAAAAAAGGCAGGGGAAAAAGUGGAGGGGAAGUAAGGCAGCAAAAUGUGGCAGAGGUAAAAAAUGGAGAAAAAAAAAGUGGCAAAAAGGGCAGGAAAAAAAAGGCAGGAAAAAAGGACAGCAGAAAAAGGUGGGGAAGAGUUAAAAAAUGGAGAUGUCAUAAUGGUGAAAAGGUGGCAUUUAAUAAGCAGGAAAACUCUAGAAAGGUGAAGAGAAAAGGGUGCAAAACAUGAGCAAAAAAAGGAUGGAAAAUCUGAAGGAAAAAGAGCAGGACUCCCAGAGGUACCCCUAAACUUUAGGCCCCCUUCCAAAUCCUACAGACCACCCCCACAUACCCCCAAGAGAGGCCCUCCAAACUCUGCAGACAAAUUAGGUCAGACCAGAUUUCAGAUUUUUUUUCAUUCUUGAGGGUUAUUAACCUUACCUGCAGUUAAAAGGCCAAAUAGAUUUGGAAUAUAUUCUAAUUUAAUCUAGCUCUCCUCCAUGCUGCAUACUCACAGCAGCCAUAUUUAACUCAUAUGAUGUGUGAAUUGCUUCUGUCCCUAUCCCAAAUGUCAUCCUUCCUGGUCUCUCAGCUUCUUUUUAACAUGCUGGUAAAUCUU